CCAGCAGGGAAGGGCAGCGCUGUGCUGCCACUGCAGGAGGCCUGCUGCCGUGGGCAGCCUGCAGGAGCUUCUCCUCACGGCAGCGAGUGCCUCGGGUCGGCAAGGGGCAAGUGCAGGCUGCUGGGAGGAACUGAGGGGGAAGGAGAGGGAAAGAGAGGGGAGAAGGGAGGGAAAGGAAGAGGAAAAUGUGACAAGAGCCUCUGAUCUGCAGGGAAGGAGCCGUCUGUGGCAACGGGGAGUGUAACUUUGAUAGCCACGUUCUGCCAGGAUAAUUCCCCGCCCCAAAUAAUAAUUCUCCAACAAAGACGCAGAGGAGCUUUGCAGAGGGAGGUGCCAAUUAGGACAAUUAACAGUUCCCUUCUGCUGAGGGGAUGCAUAAACAGCACCCAACGCUCAAGCGAGGUUAGGCCGACCAACUCAUUUCAGAUUGAUUUUUUGUGUGUUUUGGAGGCUGCUGCCUCAUCCCUGAGCAGCCUGAGAGGCUGCAGGGGAGGAACCAUCCCGUGACCGGCAGGCGAGGGGCCCGCUCUGCCCGGCAGCUCAGGGGUGCCCCAGGACAGAGACAUGGCUCUGCCCGGCCUGCUGGGCCCUGAGGGGCAUGGCUGCGGGCCCCAGCGUGGUGGGGACUGGUGUCCCAACACCCGAUAGCUGGCACUGCCAGACAAAAAUGACCGGCCUCUGAACGUAACUGGGAACACCACGUUGUUGCAAGCCAGGGGCCUAUUUUGGGCUAAUCUGCGGGAUGAGGCGACACGCUCAUUCUUGUGCAGGAAGGAUUCCAUUGCCGAUAAACAUCAGUAUAUCUUUUUUAGCACAGCGAGCUAAGCAUGAGAGAAGACAACUAUUUAUAAAUACCCUUAGGGGUAAAUAUCAAGAAGAGAAACUGUAGGAGUUAAAGGUUAAUGCUAGCCUGGGAUCAAAUGGGUGUAAAUUAAUCACGAAUAAGCACAGACUAGAAAUGAGAAGACCGUUCAGAGUAACGUGAGGAGCAAAACCCUGCAGCGACUGGAGAGAUGCCUGAGGAGCUGGCAGAAGGGUUGUACACCCCAACAGAAGUUUCCGAAGACAGAAAGUCACUUUUUGCUGAGGAUCCGUGGGGGUUCGGUGAGCUACCACUGCUUCCCUCGCCUGGGGGUGCCUCCCCUCCCUGAACCCCUGUGUGACAUGAGCAUCGGGGGCGAGCAGACCGCCUGCUGGUGGGCCAGACCUGUGCUCAGCGAUCUUGGUGGAAAACAGGUAAUUAUGGAAGACAAGUUUCACACAGUCCCCAAAUUGCCUAGUAUCCAAUGCUCAGCUGAAAUAAGCUGGUGCCUUGCUAGUGGCCUGCUGACACAGAGCAACAGCAGGCCAGGUCCCUGAUGGGCUUUGGAGAAUGUGUUGGACAAGACCCAUAAAGCUGACAGUGAGACUGAAAAGUCAGAGGAUCUUCAAUGAAAUAAGACACCAGAAGAAUGCUGCACGUACAGGAUAAACAACUUUUUGAGUGUUAAAUUGAAGAACACUCUUUGAGGUUACUGGGCUGUUAAAUCUUAUCAGCAAGUCGCUUGGACCAUGGGACGCAAGUGAGCAGCAGCCAGCUGUCCUGCCCAGGUUCCCACGUGUGUAUGGCACAGGGAAAGUGAGGAGCUGCAAGCUGAAGGGCUGCAAAGGUGGAAGGAGAAAAUGCCAUGACGAGCACACAACGGCAGCACCAGGCGGCACACGGCUCUGCAGCAAGGUGUCGAGAGAGAGGCAGCAGCUGUUAGUGAGCCGUGGCAAAUGCCACGCGUUCGCAGCCCAGGUGGCUGCUCUCAGGAUGCAGCUGCAGCAAACCCAUCCGCUGGGGCAGGAGCACCAGGCUGUGUGCUGGAGCUCGGCACCGAGCUGUGUCCAGAGGCUGUUGUAAACCGCGAGCGUGCUGGCUGCAACACAGCAGAUUGCAAAAGAAAAACAAACAAAAAAUCUGGAAGCUUUCUUUGUGGAAACGAGACAUUUCACCAAAAAAAAUGUGCCUCGUGGAGACGGAUCUGUUAUGAUGCUAAACUUUGGGUGAAAAUUUUGGGGACCGGGGCGAGAGCCAGCCCCCUUCCUCAGAUUCAGCAUAUACACGACAUCAAAGCAUUUCAGUGAGUUCUUCAUUCCAUUUACAUGCCAGCUCUCUGGUGAUGGAGUCAGACGUGUCGUGGUAGUCCUGCAAGCCGUAAAGCCAUCUGGCUUCUCUGCCACUGCUGCAGUUCUCAUUGCUCUAAGUAUUGACCACCGGGGGACUGAUCCUCAAACACCAAAGAACCUUUCUUUGAUGACCUACUGUUUUAAAGGGGGCAAUAGGAGCAGCAUGCUUUAUACUUAAAGAUAAAAAGACAGCCAUUGUCUGUGUGCUAAGAAGGAACUGAUAAUUAUUUUCGACUUCAAUUUGUUCUGUACAUUGUGAAAAAAGAUGAAUAAUUCUAUUCUCAUUUAGGAGAAGACUACAAGGGAGAGAAAUAAUCUGAUAUAUUUUAGAGACUUUUCUAAAGAACAGGCUGUCACAGUGCAGUGUCCCACACCAAUGAAAACCUUUUCCCCAGUAUUGUCAGUUGUGCCUAGUUCUCCACCAAGUAUAUUGUCAUGGAUAUUUGCAGUAAACUGAGAAUUAUCCAGCAUGGUAUUUCUGAGAAUUCAGGUUAGCCUCAGUACUGAGCAAGGAAGUCAUGAAGGCAGUGUACAUCGUAGUGAUAUUGUGAUUGCUCUGAAACAGCGACGUAUCACACAUCUGUGUUUUCAUUCUGCCAGAGACAUAUUUUCAGAAAGGCGGUUUUUGAUGACAUGUUUGGGCAAAUGAUGCUUUAUCUGCAUGUUUUUUUCAUGUAUCAUCCUGAUCUGGUAGCUUGAAUGCCAUAAGGAGAAAGCUAUGUUAAUUGCACAUGUUUUUAAGUUAGCGCAGUCCAAAACACAUGCCUCAAAACUAGGUGCCUAGAAAGUCUGGUCACUUGUUUGAGAAGCCGGAGAUGUUCUGCCUCUGUUAGAGGAAUCACAGAACUUUUUUAUAACAAGAAUCUUCAGGCACAAUAAUCUUAGCCUUGUGGAUAUUAUAUAUUUCUCUGCCUAAAAAUAAAAACCACUAAGUAUAUGAACUGCUACUGUAAAUACAAGCACGAGUAAAAGCGUUCUUCUGUUGCCAGACUCCUCCUCCCACUUGAUUUCAGUAGUCAGCAAAAGUACUUACUCAGUAUUAAGUUACAGAAAAGAAUUGUUGACCCUGGUAUAAUGGAGAGCUAAGAUAAAGUCAAGUCAAUGGAGUUUGCUUCAGCUUGUAACAUUUCAAAUAACGCUUCUACAUUACUUUGGCUUUAAAAAUUAAACUAUAUAGAAAAUAUUAGUUACAAGCAAAAAGUCAGUCUACAAACGUUUUUCAUAAAGGAAUUGUCAUUGAGAUGCUCACAGCUGAGUUAGCAUUAUUUGCUGCUAAUUUAGGUUUCAUUCUAACUAAUGUAUGUUAACAAACUUGGACCACUUAAUGCUAAGUGCUUUACAUUUUUCACUCUAAUUAAAUUUUGCCAAAGAACCAUGUUCCAUACGCAUGUGCCCAUACAAAGAGCACACUCUCAGAGCAUGGGUAGAGUUCAGGUGCCCUUGCAGCAACUAGUGAAUUCCUACUGAUCUCACUGGAGACAGGAUUUUACUCCUUACCCUGUACUUUUUUCUAUAUAUGGAUCACAAAAGUUAUCUUCUAGCUUAAUACACAGGUUCUUGGGUACAUUAUUCUAAGAAACUUAUUUUAAUGAGCUCCAGGCUGUCAUUUACCAUUUCUGUUGUUAGAUAAAAACAAGCCUUACUUCAGAGUUCAAACAUCUAUAUUCCAGCAAUUACAAACAUAUUUGAAACUAGACAACAGAUGCCAGUUUAGAUAAAUUUCUAGUCUGUGGAUGGAGGUAGGCAUUUGCAGCAAUAAUCUGCAGUUUUAUGGCAGAAUUCCAGAACUGCCUGCAGAGAGCUCUGGGAGAAUUGUGUACCAUUUAGGAGGUUCUUUUAACUGUACCGUAAUCUGUUACAGGCGGUUCGGACAUGGAAGUGGCAUAAAAAUCAAGAAAACUUUGAAUAAUUUUUAAGGUCAGUAGUAUAAGAUCUAGGCAUAACAAUUUACCUUUAAUUCUGAGAUAUUUUUCACCAGUGUGAGAUGAAACACGUUGAAGUGGGCGACACAGACUGAUUCUGCCGUUCUUCCACGUGCCCAGAUUUGUGCAGGGUUAUGCCGCGCUCUUCCACGGGCAGCAUGGCUCUCAGGAGUGCACUGCAGAGGGGACCGGACAGCAACGUGGCUGCCUGGGCUCUGGAUGCUCACCUUGGCCAAAACAUCACAUCACACAGAUGCCAGGUUUCGAUUCCCCAUGCAGCUCUUGCCAUGUGGGCACAGCGGCCUAGAACAGGUUGGGAAUCACGUGCAGUAAGGAUGCUACGCAGCCAUGCCAAACUCUGGGGUCUGACGUUUGAGUUUUGGUACAAAAGAAAAAGGAAAAUGAGGUCUGCUCUGGGACAGCCCUGCCCAGAAGCGGUGGCUGGGGUGAGGUGUUGACCCCGUGGCUCUGCAGGAUGCUGUUGUUGUACGGCUGCAGGAACAGGGCCGGCUGGCUGAGCCCUACUCAUCUACCUCAGUGCAAAGUUACUCUCCUAAUGGAUAUUUUUUUCAAAGUUACUAAGCUGUUACCUAGUUACCAUAGCCUGGUAACCAUUUAGACAGAGCAGGGCUUUUCCCUACCACCAGGUAAGCAAGUGACCCUCACUGAGUCGGUCGGUCCAGUGAAACCACCCAGCUGCAAACCAGAGUGAGGCUCCAGAAGAAAUUUAUUCAAAGCGUUCAGAGGAACACUGUGGUAUGAGAUGAGUUAUGAUUAGUCUUGACAAUGCUAAUUCCAUUUAAAAUAUGCCUAACUGGUUUAAAAAUAAAACUUCAGCCUCCCUUCCACUGCAACCCAGUCCUGAAGCUAUUUCAGCGCGCGUUGCCCGUCCCAUGCCUUAUUUUCUGAUUCGGCUGCGAGGUUACUAUUAAUAGCCCAGGAGCUGGGGGGAGGAAGUGCGACUACCGAGUUCUGCAAACAGUUUUAUGUGCGCUCGCUUCUUGGCUGUGGGCGAGCGGUGCCAGCCCGCCCGUGUGCCGCCGGGGUCAGCCCUGGCCACGCUGGACCACCCAUCCCUCCCCGCGCGCGUUGCUAAGAGACCUGCUCUCCUCCGCUGAGCUUCGUGGAGAGGAGCACAUCAAAGACACCCACAGCCCCGAAUGGUUUUAUAGAUGAAUUUAAAGAGACACUCUCCCGUGCUGUGUUAUGGGGGGGGAGAUCAAAAGUUGCUCUGUGUGCGGAGAGCAGCUGGAGAAUUGAACUGGCUUCUUCUGGAAAAUAAAAGU